rnacentral:rRNA from 1 species
UACGUAGGGUGCGAGCGUUGUCCGGAAUUAUUGGGCGUAAAGAGCUCGUAGGCGGUGUGUCACGUCGGCCGUGAAAACCUGCAGCUUAACUGUGGGCGUGCGGUCGAUACGGGCAUCACUGGAGUUCGGCAGGGGAGACUGGAAUUCCUGGUGUAGCGGUGAAAUGCGCAGAUAUCAGGAGGAACACCGGUGGCGAAGGCGGGUCUCUGGGUCGAUACUGACGCUGAGGAGCGAAAGCGUGGGGAGCAAACAGG